rnacentral:rRNA from 1 species
GAUGAACGCUGGCGGCGUGCCUAAUACAUGCAAGUCGAGCGAACAAACGCGGAUCUUGCUCCUCUGACGAUAGCGGCGGACGGGAGAGUAACACGUGGAUAACCUAUCUAUAAGACUGGUAUCACUUCGGGACACCGGCUCUAAUACCGUAUAAUAUAUUCAACCCCAUGGUGCAAUAGUAAAAGACGUUUUUGGUGUCAGUUAUACACGCAUCCGCGCCGCAUUAGCUAGUUGGUAAGGUAUCGGCUUACCAAGGCGACUAUGCGUAGCCGGCCUGAGAGCGUGAUCGGCCACACUGGAACUGAGACACGGUCCAGAGGCCUAGGGGAGGCAGGAGUAGGAAAUCUGCCGCAAUGGGCGAAUGCCUGACGGAGCAACGCCGCGUGAGUGAGGAAGGUCUUCGGAUCGUAAAGCUCUGUUAUUAGGGCAGAACAAAUGUGUAAGUAACUAUGCACGUCUUGACGGUACCUAAUCAGAAAGCCACGGCUAACUACGUG